rnacentral:rRNA from 1 species
UACGUAGGUGGCAAGCGUUGUCCGGAUUCAUUGGGUAUAAAGGGUGCGUAGGCGGCCAUUUAAGUCAGUGCUGAAAUAUCACAGCUUAACUGUGGGGGUGGCAUUGAUACUGGGUGGCUUGAGUGCUAGCGAGGCAGGCGGAAUUGACGGUGUAGCGGUGAAAUGCUUAGAUAUCGUCAAGAACACCGAUAGUGUAGACAUCUUGCCAGGGAGCAACUGACUAUUAGGCACGAAAGUGUGGGGAUCAAACAGG